rnacentral:rRNA from 1 species
GACGUAGGUUGCAAGCGUUAUCCGGAAUUAUUGGGCGUAAAGAGUUCGUAGGUGGUUUGUUAAGUUGGAUGUCAAAGCCUUGAGCUCAACUCAAGACAGGUAUCCAAAACUGGCAGACUAGAGACAAGCAGAGGCAGGUGGAAUUCUGUAUGUAGGGGUAAUAUCCGUAGAUAUACAGAGGAACACCAAAAGCGAAGGCAGCCUGCUGGGCUUGUUCUGACACUCAAGAACGAAAGCGUGGGGAGCAAACGGG